rnacentral:rRNA from 1 species
GACGAACGCUGGCGGCGUGCUUAACACAUGCAAGUCGAACGGAAAGGCCCUGCUUUUGUGGGGUGCUCGAGUGGCGAACGGGUGAGUAACACGUGAGUAACCUGCCCUUGACUUUGGGAUAUCUUCAGGAAACUGGGGCUAAUACCGGAUAGGAGCUCCUGCUGCAUGGUGGGGGUUGGAAAGUUUCGGCGGUUGGGGAUGGACUCGCGGCUUAUCAGCUUGUUGGUGGGGUAGUGGCUUACCAAGGCUUUGACGGGUAGCCGGCCUGAGAGGGUGACCGGCCACAUUGGGACUGAGAUACGGCCCAGACUCCUACGGGAGGCAGCAGUGGGGAAUAUUGCACAGUGGGCGGAAGCCUGAUGCAGCAACGCCGCGUGCGGGAUGACGGCCUUCGGGUUGUAAACCGCUUUCGCCUGUGACGAAGCGUGAGUGACGGUAAUGGGUAAAGAAGCACCGGCUAACUACGUG